UUCCAGACUCCUACGGGAGGCAGCAGUGUGGAAUAUUGGUCAAUGGGCGAGAGCCUGAACCAGCCAAGUCGCGUGAGGGAAGGCGGUCCUAUGGAUUGUAAACCUCUUUUGUCGGGGAGCAAAAAGGCCUCGUGAGGCCACAAGCGAGAGUACCCGAAGAAAAAGCAUCGGCUAACUCCGUGCCAGCAGCCGCGGUAAUACGGAGGAUGCGAGCGUUAUCCGGAUUUAUUGGGUUUAAAGGGUGCGUAGGCGGACAGUCAAGUCAGCGGUAAAAAUGCGGUGCUCAACGCCGUACAGCCGUUGAAACUGGCAGUCUUGAGUGGGCGAGAAGUAUGCGGAAUGCGUGGCGUAGCGGUGAAAUGCAUAGAUAUCACGCAGAACUCCGAUUGCGAAGGCAGCAUACCGGCGCCCGACUGACGCUGAGGCACGAAAGCGUGGGUAUCGAACAGGAUUAGAUACCCGAGUAG
rnacentral:rRNA from 1 species